GACUGCACGUCUCCAGUGAUUGAUCCGCGGCUACUGGGUUCAGACGGCGGAGUGCUGGGGUGAGGACGGUGCAGAGCAGGCAGUGCGGCGGGGUGAGGACGGUGCAGAGCAGGCAGUGCGGCGGUCAGCAGUGCCGGACGACGUCCCGGGCGGACCGGAAAUAUCCGGAGAUAUCCGUUCUGAGUGGAGAUAGAGCCCCUGCGGCCGUGUGUGGCCGGUCGGGAGGAAGGCCGUGUGUGGCCGGGUGGGAGGCCGCGGUUCCGGCCGUGUGUGGCCGGUCGGGAGGAAGGCCGUGUGUGGCCGGGCGGGAGGAAGGCCGCCGUUCCGGCCGUCGGAACCGCCCGGAAUUCAGUGUGUGUUGGGAGCUGUCCCUGGUCUUGACGGUCGAGUCACCUCUGGUCUCGGCGGGAGCUGCCUGUCUUUGUGCUCCACGGUAACUCGGACUUGGCACGCCCAGAGCGAUUCAGGCCUCGCUGCGCCGGGCGGGGGUCAGCGACCGACAGGAACUCACUCGGAGCUCACUGACCUGAGGAACUCACUCAGUGCUCGGAGGGAACUCACUCGGAGCUCACUCACCUGAGGAACUCACUCGGUGCUCGGAGGGAAGUCACACUCGGAGCUCACCACUCACCAGGAACUCAAACUCGAGAAAACAGCGCAAUCUGAGAUGGGUGACCCGGUGACGGACCAGCCGGCCGCCCGGACGGACCCGAAGUCCGACCCCCAGCAGCCGGCGGACGGCGAGAAGCGGGAUAGCUCCGAGCGAUCCGACGCUGCCGAGAGCACGUGUCUCUGUGUGGAGGCCUGCUGCGAGUGCUGCUCGUUCUGCAUGUGCUUCUGCGAGCUCUGGGAGCUGCUCACCUGCUGCCUGGAGUGCUGCAACAACUGAGAGCCGGUGCUGCAACAACUGAGAGCCGGUGCUGCAGCAUCUGACAAUGCAAGACAUUUUGAGCGGGGGCAGUGCCCGGAUCCACCAUUUGAGCGGGUUAUGCUAGAUCUGGGGGACCUUUUAAGGGGUUUAUACCAGAUCUAGGGGGAUAUUUUUAACGGGUUAUACCAGAUAUGAGGGAACAUUUAUAACGGGUUAUACCAGAUAUGAGGGACUAUUUUGAACACAUCAGAUCUGGGGACAUUUUGAGGGGAACUAUCAGAUUUAUGGGGAUAUUUUGAACGGAUUUUUACCAGAUCUGAGGGGGCAUUUUCACCGUCGGACCCAUGUUGCCGCCAAUCACUAUAGAUAGAGCCUGUUGAGUGCAAUUGUUGAGGCUUGUACUAAAUAGUGUAGUUCUUGGCUAAGGCUUCAAAUGUCGGAACCAAUUGUGGCCGGAUAUUUCUUUGGGUGUUGAUGAAUUCAGGGUUCGUUGUCACCAGCGCAGCUUUUUACGUUUUAUCACGCACGAAGCCAAUGAAUUUCCUUAUCCACAACACCAAGGAGUAGGCAUUCCGAACCGCUGAAGCAGAUUUUACAGUAUUUCUGUCCGCCCCACACCCUGAUAACGUGACGGCAGGGUAGGGUGUCCGCGCCCUCUUAAAGGGACUAUCCCACCUUCUAAAAUGGUGUUAAAACCAGUUUAAUUGUGCCCGACUUUAUAGAUUGGAUGACCAGGAACACGGUUCUGGCAUUUAUUUUUCAUUAAACAUCUUAGGCUUCCCAUAUUCCAAACACAAACUUUCAAAUAUGUGACGUCACAGCCCAAAAUUACCUCCUUCCCCAGGCCACAUUACUGUCAUAAAGCUGAUUCUUUUUACUCUGUAGGCACCACAACAAAGUUCGGACCAAGUUUUAAGCGAUUUUUCAACGAACAAACCCAUUUAAAUCAGAAUGACUAAACGAGGUGACGUCACACUAACGGUCGCUCCAUGUUGAAGAUAGGGCCUUGUACAAGGCCCAUUUUCAAAUGAAGGGAACGAAUUUCUUCAACACCAAGAGGCCGCAGGGGUUGCAACCUAGAUAGAUAGUGGUUUCUGAACCUCGCCGCAAACUUGGCUAUCUCAACUCAAACCCCAUGUUAAAGGUGGGAUAGUCCCUUUAAUGUGGCGGCGGGGCGGGGUGUCCGUGGCGGCGGGGCGGGGAAUCCGCGUCCAGUGCUGGUGUUUCCGCUUCCUGUAUUACGGGUAUACGCUGAUGGUGCGUGGUCACUGGAGACCCCCCGGGGAGUGUGCCACCUGUGGAACAUGGCAGGCCUGUUUGGUGAGCGAGUCUGAGCUUACUGGCAACUUGUCAUAAUUUUACCGGCGACUCUCCGUGUCUUAUAUGACACCAUGCUAUAUGAUUCGAUGGUUGACUAUGCUACGAUGCCAGGUUUGGUAUUCGCUCAAGUGUUGAGCCCGUAUGCUGCAUUAGUGUCCACAUGUCUUAUGUACCUAAUAAUGCUCCCAGUUUUCGUAUCUGGCCACGACUGACACCACGGAUGGCUGAGGAAUGCCUCGCUUCUCAGUGGCUGACGAUGGUGUCCAGGCCGGCAUCUGCUGUAGGAACUCCGAGGUCAGAGACGUGCUGCCAUUUUCCGGGGAGGUGUGCGCGCCCUGUUUGAAGGUGCUGCCAUUGUCCGGGUAGGUGCGCGCCCUGUUUGAAGGUGCUGCCAUUGUCCGGGUAGGUGCGCCCUGUUUGAAGAUGCUGCCAUUGUCCGGGUAGGUGCGUGCCCUGUAUGAAGAUGCUGCCGUUGUCCGGGUAGGUGCGCGCGCCCUGUUUUAGCCGUGCGACUGGCUAGCUGCUGACGUCAGAGCCGGUCUCAGGUCACGGAGUGGUCACCUUUACGUCACGGCCAGGUGCGGCACACACCCAGUUACGUCUCGGAGACCGGGUACAGUCGGUGCGGCGAUCCCGGCACCGUGCUGUGGUGUUACUAUUCCGAGCCUGAUGCUGAUGUCCACAUAAACCCGUGCGACAAUGGUGCGAUGGCGGUGGCAUGCAGUGACGCGCUGAUGGCGGUGGCAUGCGGUGUGGUGCUGUUUGGGCUCGGUGUGUCGACUCAGUCAGCUGACCGGACUGUAUGCCUUAUUAGGCUGACUGUUUUAUACAACGACCCCUUUUUAGUAUAAGCAGAUUGAUAUUGUACGAGCUUCCCAGGGUUUUGCCAAAUGCACGAAAAUACAUUUUGUACUGAUUG